rnacentral:rRNA from 1 species
CAGUAGCCGCGGGAAUACGGAGGGUGCAAGCGUUAAUCGGAAUUACUGGGCGUAAAGCGUGCGUAGGCGGUUCGUUAAGUCUGUUGUGAAAGCCCCGGGCUCAACCUGGGAAUGGCAAUGGAUACUGGCGAGCUAGAGUGUGUCAGAGGAUGGUGGAAUUCCCGGUGUAGCGGUGAAAUGCGUAGAGAUCGGGAGGAACAUCAGUGGCGAAGGCGGCCAUCUGGGACAACACUGACGCUGAGGCACGAAAGCGUGGGGAGCAAACAGGAUUAGAGACCCCGGUAGUCCCUGUCUCUUAUAC